rnacentral:rRNA from 1 species
AACGGCGGCCGUAACUAUAACGGUCCUAAGGUAGCGAAAUUCCUUGUCGGGUAAGUUCCGACCCGCACGAAUGGCGUAACGAUGGCCACACUGUCUCCUCUCGGGACUCAGCGAAGUUGAAAUGUUUGUGAAGAUGCAAUCUCCCCGCGGCUAGACGGAAAGACCCCAUGAACCUUUACUGCAGCUUUACAUUGGACUUUGACAAGAUUUGUGUAGGAUAGGUGGGAGACUAUGAAGCGGUGUCGCUAGAUAUCGUGGAGUCAACCUUGAAAUACCACCCUGAUGUUGUUGAGGUUCUAACCUAGGUCCGUAAUCCGGACUGGGGACCGUGUAUGGUAGGCAGUUUGACUGGGGCGGUCUCCUCCCAAAGAGUAACGGAGGAGUGCGAAGGUAACCUAGGUACGGUCGGAAAUCGUACUGAUAGUGCAAUGGCAAAAGGUUGCUUGACUGCGAGACGGACAGGUCGAGCAGGUGCGAAAGCAGGUCAUAGUGAUCCGGUGGUUCUGUAUGGAAGGGCCAUCGCUCAACGGAUAAAAGGUACUCUGGGGAUAACAGGCUGAUUCCUCCCAAGAGUUCAUAUCGACGGGGGAGUUUGGCACCUCGAUGUCGGCUCAUCACAUCCUGGGGCUGUAGCCGGUCCCAAGGGUAUGGCUGUUCGCCAUUUAAAGUGGUACGUGAGCUGGGUUUAAAACGUCGUGAGACAGUUUGGUCCCUAUCUGCCGUGGGCGCUGCAAGUUUGAGGGGACCUGCUCCUAGUACGAGAGGACCGGAGUGGACGCACCUCUGGUGGACCAGUUAUCAUGCCAAUGGUAUAGCUGGGUAGCUAAGUGCGGAAGAGAUAAACGCUGAAAGCAUCUAAGCGUGAAACUCGCCUCGAGAUGAGACUUGCCUCUGGCUUUAAGCCAGCUAAAGAGUCGUUCAAGACCAGGACGUUGAUAGGUCAGGUGUGGAAGUGCAGUAAUGCAUUAAGCUAACUGAUACUAAUUGCUCGUGAGGCUUGAUCCUAUAACCUUA